rnacentral:rRNA from 2 species
UUCGCAAUGCCCGAAAGGGUGACGAUGCGACGCCGCGUGAGCGAAGAAGGCCCUAGGGUUGUAAAGCUCUGUCGAGGGUUAUGAAAUAUAGAUGGGUUAAUACCCCAUUUAUUUGACAAAAGCCCAAAAGGAAGCCACGGCUAACUCUGUGCCAGCAGCCGCGGUAAUACAGAGGUGGCGAGCGUUGUUCGGAAUUAUUGGGCGUAAAGAGCACGUAGGUGGGUUUGUAAGUCAGAUGUGAAAGCCUCCUGUUCAACGGGAGAAUUGCAUCUGAAACUACUGAUCUUGAGUAUAGGAGGGGAGAAUGGAACUUCUGGUGGAGCGGUGAAAUGCGUAGAUAUCAGAAGGAACGCCGGCGGCGAAAGCGAUUCUCUGGCCUAUUACUGACACUCAGUGUGCGAAAGCUAGGGGAGCAAACGGGAUUAGAUACCCCGGUAGUCCUAGCUGUAAACGAUGGGCACUAAGUAGAGGGGUUUU